rnacentral:snoRNA from 1 species
CAGCAUGUUUCCAAGGGCUUUGGCUGGUUUAUGGUCAUGGGCUCUCCAGCUACAAGAGGAGACACUGACAACUCGGGUCAGCACAGUAGUACCUGUGGUUGCUACUUAUCAUUCUUAGAGAC